rnacentral:rRNA from 1 species
GAUGAACGCUAGCGGGAGGCCUAACACAUGCAAGCCGAGCGGUAUUGUUUCUUCGGAAAUGAGAGAGCGGCGUACGGGUGCGUAACACGUUUGCAACCUGCCUUUAUCUGGGGGAUAGCCUUUCGAAAGGAAGAUUAAUACUCCAUAAUAUAUUGAACGGCGUCGUUUAAUAUUGAAAGCUCCGGCGGAUAGAGAUGGGCACGCGCAAGAUUAGCUAGUUGGUGAGGUAACGGCUCACCAAGGCGAUGAUCUUUAGGGGGCCUGAGAGGGUGAUCCCCCACACUGGUACUGAGACACGGACCAGACUCCUACGGGAGGCAGCAGUGAGGAAUAUUGGUCAAUGGGUGCAAGCCUGAACCAGCCAUCCCGCGUGAAGGACGACUGCCCUAUGGGUUGUAAACUUCUUUUGUAUAGGGAUAAACCUACCCUCGAGAGGGUAGCUGAAGGUACUAUACGAAUAAGCACCGGCUAACUCCGUG